AUUAUUACAGAAUAUUACAAACAUUAAAAUAAUAGGCUUCAUGAGGGUCAAGUAAAGGCUGUCCCUUCACACCCUGUAGCAUAUCCAUUUUUUAUUGUUAUAAUACGCAUACGCUUUGGUGGAAAUUCGUGAAAUUAUCCCUUAGAACAUUCUGUUCUUGCAUAAUUAAAUUAUCAGCUGUAUAUUUUCUAAUCUCAGAAUUGCAAUUUUAUUUUGUAGAAGAAGGGUAGAAAACGAGUUGCAAAUUUCACAAUUGCAGAAAAGCAGAUACUUCUACCGAUCGUGGACAAAUAUAGAAACAUUGUCGAGUGUAAGAAAACUGAUGCUGUGAGCAGCAAACAACAAUUACAGGCGUGGGAGGAAAUUUGCCAUGCUUUCAAUGCAAAAGGAUUAUCUCCUGAGUUCCGUCCGGCAAGUAAAAUAAAAGUUUUGUGGGAUAACAUAAAACGCGACACCCGAAGGAAAUUGAGCGUUUUGCGACAAGAAACAUUCAAAACAGGAGGCGAAACGAAUCCAGAGAAAGAAGACGUGUUUUGUCUACAAGUAAAGGAAAUAAUUGGCAGUACAGCAGAGCCAAUGGAGAAUGUUUAUGAUGAUGACGCUCUCGCAACAAAAUGGAACCAGCAAAUGCAAGGAUAAACCCAAGCGAAUCUGUCAGCCCGGUACAGACACUCAGAGAAAUUAGUAUAGAAUAUAAUUUUUUUAAUUAAAAUUAUUUCUUGA